UUAACAAAAACAUGUCUUUUUGAGUUAUUUUUAAAGUCUGGCCUGCCCACUGAAAAUUUUUAAAUGGCCGCAGUAUUCUAACUGUGCAAAGGUAGCAUAAUCAAUAGUCUUUUAAUUGAAGGCUGGUAUGAAUGGUUGGACGAGGUAUAAGCUGUUUCAUGUAAAUUUAUAAUAGAAUUUUAUAUUUUAGUUAAAAAGCUAAAAUGUCGUUAAAAGACGAGAAGACCCUAUAAAUCUUUAUAUUUUAUUUAAUUUAAGUUUUUUGGAUUUGUUUUAUUUUUAUUAUAUAAAAUAUUUUGUUGGGGUGAUGUUAAAAUUUAAUAAACUUUUAAUUUUUUUUUGUCAUUAAUUUAUGUAUUAUUGAUCCAUUAGUAUUGAUUAUAAGAUUAAGUUACUUUAGGGAUAACAGCGUAAUUUUUUUGGAGAGUUCAUAUCGAUAAAAAAGUUUGCGACCUCGAUGUUGGAUUAAGGUAUAAUUUUAGGUGUAGCCGCUUAAAUGUUAAGUCUGUUCGACUUUUAAAUUCUUACGUGAUCUGAGUUC
rnacentral:rRNA from 1 species